rnacentral:rRNA from 1 species
AGGUCACACCCGUUCCCAUGCCGAACACGGAAGUUAAGUUCUCUAGCGCCGAUGGUAGUUGGGACUUUGUCCCUGUGAGAGUAGGACGUUGCCAGAU